CCCAAUUCCUCUCCCAUGCCUAGGUAGUGAGGAAAAUAGCGCCGGAUGAUGACAAAUGCUGGUGACUAAAAUAGGGUCCUACGCAUUCUGAGACCUCAAACCGGUAAUGGAUGGGGACGGGGCAGUGAGUCACUCCUCUCUCCUUCCAACGUCACUACUGGUCAAGGUCAUGGUGGCCUGAUUCCCUCAGCUCCAAGCUGGGAAAACGUGGCAAGAAAUACCUUUGAUCGGAGGACUAGGAACCUAAGCCUCAGGCUCCACCAUCUGCCAAACCUCAAGGUCACUGGGAAACAAACCUUGAUGUCUCACCCAGAAAUAAGAGGCCAGCCACGUCUCGGGGAUCUCUCAUGAUGGAGAGUCCUCGUGACCUCAUCACUUCUCAGACACCUUCUAGUGCCAUCAACCUUUGGGCUGAAAUCCCUGUAUAAGUAUAAAAACUAAUGUAAGAAGACUCUGGAAGGUGAAGAAAUGAAUAGGCAGACCAAGGACCAUAGAGUCCCAGGAAACAGCUUAGUGAUUUCUUUUUGCCUAACAUUUCCCAGGCUUGGUGAAGAAAAAAAAAAAAAGUGCAAGUUAAAGACUGUUGUUUCUUUAGCCAAACAAACAAGAGAGAGACAACCUACAAGACAGAAACAUCCAGACAAUGACCACUCUGGCAGGCCAAACAUCAAAUAAAAACUGUGGACUCUCAUGUAUCCAGAAGACUGGACCCUGGGCCAGCACCAGAAAAAGCCAAGGAGGGACCCAGGGAUCUCACACCCACCGGCCAGUAAUGAGGCUCCCCAGGCACCCACAGAAGCUUGCCUGGCCCAAGAGCAGUGAAGCCCUCAUUAUCUUGGGCGCCAUUGGAGGCCAAAUGGGAAAUCUGUGCUUCCUCACCAUCUAGCAGCGGUGAGGCACACAUGUCUUUCCCUAUCCAAAUGCUAUCUUUUUAAAAUGUUUAGUUAAGAUAGAAGGCUUAGGUAAGACCCAGAGUCUCUUAGCACACUGCAAAAAUGUUCAGGUAUCAAUCAAAAUGCCCUCACCAUACCAAGAACCCAGAACAUCUCAAGCUGGACUGUUAUCAACAUAAACACUCAGUUCCAAGACGAUAGAGACAUAGCAUUAUCUUAAGGCCCUUAUAGUUUAAGAAAGGGCUUCAUUAGCAUAAAAGAGAAUUACUUGGGUGGAAAAAGGGUGGAGAUAGGGAAGAGUGGGGCCAAAUAAGAACAAAGUAUAUAAUGAUAUAUGCACAAAAAAUAUCACAAUGUCACCUACUUCUUUAUAUUCCGGAAUAAUUAGUUUAAAUGUUUCAUUGAGCAAUGAUAAACCUAGGUGAAGCAAACAAAGCAUGAAGAGCCAAGCUGAGAAUACAGUGCAAUGGAAGAGCAUUUGCCUACUGUGUGUAAGUCCCCAAGUUCAUUUCCAACACCAAAAAUUACGGAACAAGUGGAAGAUACAUAUUUAAAGUAUUGCUACCAAAACAUGCCUGGUGCCAAUGGCUCAAGAACAGGUUGUUGGACCAAGGAAAAAGAUUUACUUAAAAAGCCAUCAAACCAAAGAUGGUUGGUGUGCAAAGACUCUUGGAGAACUAAAGUGUGUUUCCCUGUGUUACAGGGAAAGAAAAGGGAGCUGGAACCAUAGGCAAGAAGGAGCUGCUGGCUGGCAUGCUGUCUUAGCUGCCUUUAUCUUGAUGGUAUCAGCCCUGGAGGGGAACAAGGCUUAAGUCAGUUUAGGUCAAAUUAAUUGUAUAGUUCCAGAGAAGACAUUUCUAAAAUGGUUAACAUGACGAGGUGAAGAGUUGAGUGGAAAUCCAGCCCAAAGGUUAAGACAGCAGAGGACGCUGAUACAAUACAGAGGCAGCAAUACCAAGCUUGA